AGCGAACGCUGGCGGCAGGCCUAACACAUGCAAGUCGAACGGUAACAGGGAGCUUGCUCCGCUGACGAGUGGCGAACGGGUGAGUAAUGCGUCGGAACGUGCCGAGUAGUGGGGGAUAACGCAUCGAAAGGUGUGCUAAUACCGCAUACGAACUGAGGUUGAAAGUGGGGGACCUUCGGCCUCACGCUAUUCGAGCGGCCGACGUCUGAUUAGCUAGUUGGUGAGGUAAGGCUCACCAAGGCGACGAUCAGUAGCGGGUCUGAGAGGAUGAUCGGCCACACUGGGACUGAGACACGGCCCAGACUCCUACGGGAGGCAGCAGUGGGGAAUUUUGGACAAUGGGCGCAAGCCUGAUCCAGCCAUGCCGCGUGUCUGAAGAAGGCCUUCGGGUUGUAAAGGACUUUUGUCCGGGAGCAAAUGCUGGUGGCUAACAUCCACCGGAGCUGAGAGUACCGGAAGAAUAAGCACCGGCUAACUACGUGCCAGCCGCCGCAGUAACAC
rnacentral:rRNA from 1 species